rnacentral:rRNA from 1 species
AGUUUGAUCCUGGCUCAGGACGAACGCUGGCGGCGUGCUUAACACAUGCAAGUCGAACGAUGAAGCUGGAGCUUGCUCCGGUGGAUUAGUGGCGAACGGGUGAGUAACACGUGAGCAACCUGCCCUUCACUCUGGGAUAACUGCGGGAAACUGUAGCUAAUACCGGAUAUUAGGAUCGGAGGCAUCUCGGAUCUUGGAAAGAAUUUCGGUGAAGGAUGGGCUCGCGGCCUAUCAGCUUGUUGGUGAGGUAAAGGCUCACCAAGGCGACGACGGGUAGCCGGCCUGAGAGGGUGACCGGCCACCCUGGAACUGAGACACGGUCCAGACUCNUACGGAAGGCAGCAGUGGGGAAUAUUGCCCAAUGGGCGCAAGCCUGAUGCAGCAACGCCGCGUGAGGGAUGAAGGCCUUCUGGUUGUAAACCUCUUUUAGCAGGGAAGAAGCGAAAGUGACGGUACCUGCAGAAUAA